GGGCACCACUUCGAAGCGGCGCUGCCGUAGCCGAAAGUGAUGAAGGCAAAGCAAAACUUUUUGCUGAUCUAGCUGACCAGUGUUCGCCGUCUGCUUCCCUUGCGCCUAAUCUUAUUUCGACUGUUAAAGUUGUUUACCACAUAUGAGAUUAAAUAAAUUAACAAAGUGCUACCGAAGAGAAAGAGGCUGCGAUGAGUCAUCUGUGCUGCCUCCUUAACUAGGUAUUGACCUUCGGGCUAUUUUCCCGGGCGAUGGAAAGUGGCGAUAGUCGAGAUGUUACCAAAUCGAGAUGUCAUCAAAAACAUCGCAACAGAUGGGCUUCACAUUGAAAGAAUAGCUAAAAAUCCGUGAUCAAUUCUUUAACUGGAAGAUAGAGAAUGAGUUGUUUUUAAUAGAGAGGAAGUUCGGUCCUCUACAAAAGUUCUUUAACUGAACGCGAAGAAGGAAAAAGCGAUCGCUCGGGACGCCACACUCUCAAGUAUUGACCCAAGCCUCUUUUUAAUUGUUAGAAUAUAAAAGGCUAAUUGGUCGGACGGAACAGAAGUAUGGAGUCACCACGAAAGUCGAUGAGGUUAAAUUACUUCGGGAUGAAUUAGAAAAUAAGGAAAAUCCCAAAUUAUCAGUAAUCAACUUGACUUUAGAAAGAAAAUUACAGGAAGUAAAAUUUAAAGACUGGCGAAGUUGCCACAGUUUUAGGAGAUAGAAUAAUUGGUUUGGCUGUAAGGAUAAUUGCACAUUCCAAUACCGUUUUGAUAACAGAAGAUAUAAAAUUCGGCAGAUACGUCAAUGCCUUUACGAAUGAUGGCAAACGGAGUUUGUUUAAAUGCAAGUGCCCAUGCUAAAGGAAAUUUUAAAAGAGAUGGCUUAUAGAACCGUCACUUUACCAGCGGAGUCCUGGCAAAACCCCAUCCUCAAUGUUGACGAUUCCCAUGAAGCUUUGAAGUCGAUGAUAAAGGUUAACCGAGAAGCCAAAAGGAAUAAUUAUUAUAAAAAAGGAAUAGCUCUGAUGAUGAUUUUCAUAGGGAACCCGCGCGCUCUGGUAAUUUUUAUACUCGGAAACAAGCUCGCACAUAAUACAGGAAAUAUGGUCCUCCUGAAGCUUUCUAUUGUCAUAUUAUUACAGUAUGUCGUUUUUGCAGGAAGAUUGGGCAUCUUGAAAGUCGAUGCAAAGCAAAAUUUAUUGGAAAUUUAUUAUAAAUUCGCUUUUAAUGCUUUCACUCACCGUCAUUCUACUUAUCCUUAUAUACUUAACAGGGAUAUACUCGAUUCUAGCCCCAGUUGCCCAUCAUUAAACUUGCAAAUCUGGUUAAAAAUAUCCGGCUUAUUGCCGAGUCAGUACAAGGCCUUUUAGAAACUGUCAAGGUCCUGAAGAAGGCGUAUACAAUAAUAGCAGGGCUUUAUUUAACCCAUCAUGCGACUAUAAUUUAACAAGCGUCGGUAAAAAAUGUGGCAAAAAGAAAGCAGUACUUUUCAAUAACAUGGCAAUAAUGCGGAAUGACGUUGAAGAACGAACUAAUUUUUAUCCACUCUGAGCAAUGGAAGAUAGCCCAAAGAGCCUGCAAUGGUUGAUUACUGAAAUCUUACAUCGUCUGCUUUGUUAGAUCGAAACUUGUAAUGGCUUGAAAUAAUGGGUCUCUUUGGGACCACUAGUCUUACGAAGACAAUAUAAGAAAUGAAAACGUUCAAAGGAAACUUAGUAAAAUUAUUCUUCCUUUAGUUUAUUUAAAGAAAGUAUAUUUGAUUUACACGGAACUUACCCGUUAUCACUGGACGGAAAUUAAAUGGGUUACUACCGUUUUUAUUAAACGAACAAGGUACGUAUGAAUAGUAUUUACGAGCUACAAAUCCGCUGUUUCAGUUGUUGUAGCAAACUUUUUAGAUACUGGGUAAUAGGUAAUUUAUGAGGAAAAUUCACUUGGACAAUGGUACGGCAAGUAAUCUUUCAAGUUAAGUGCGGAAAACUUUUAUAUAACAGCGCCAAAAGAAUUCUUCAGGCCCAUCUCGAGAUCCCUGUGGAAAUUGUUAUUGAAUUUAUAGUACAGCUACGAAAUAAACUGGUUAAAAGAAUAAA